AUACUUACCUGGACGGGGUUAAUGGGUGAUCAUCAAGGCCCAUGGCCUAGGUUGGUGGCCUCCAUUGCACCUUGGAGGGGUGCCCGCCUAUGGUCUCCCCAAGUGGGAGAGCCAACGUCAUAAUUUGUGAUAGUGGGGGCCUGCGUUCGCGCGGCCCCUGU
rfam:Morus notabilis contig8311, whole genome shotgun sequence.